rnacentral:rRNA from 1 species
AUGGAAUUUUCCGCCCUUCUGACUUCGGCGGGCAUAAACAUCGCCUUGUGCAUUCUCUAUCUGUCCCUCUACUCCAUCCUCCGCAAGCAGCCGCACAACUUCCGCGUCUACUUCGGCCGGCGGCUCGCCGAGGAGAAGUUCCGGGAGCAGGUGGACUACUUCUCCUUCGAGAGGCUCCUGCCCACCGCCGGCUGGCUCGUCAAGGCGUACUGGUGCACCGAGGACGAGAUCCGACGCGUCGCCGGCCUCGACUCCGUCGUCUUCCUACGCCUCUUCAUCUUCAGCAUACGCAUCUUCUCCAUAACCACCCUUAUCUGUGUCUUUGGAGUGCUCCCUGUGAAUUACCAUGGCCAAGAAAUGGCCCACGUGCGGGUCCCAGCGGAGUCGCUCAACGUAUUCACCAUUGCAAAUCUCAAGGAAGGAUCAAGCAAGCUUUGGGUGCAUUGUACUGCUUUAUAUGUUAUAACAAUCUCAGCUUGUAUUCUUCUUUUCCAAGAGUACAGGUAUAUCUCAAGAAAGAGAUUAGCACACAUCACUGGAUCAACACCCAAUCCGGGUCAUUUUGCUGUGCUCGUUCGCUCGAUUCCAAAGUCACACAACGAGCUUCUCGAUGACACCAUCAGGAAUUUCUUUCUUAACUAUCAUGGAUCUAGUUACCUGUCACAUCAGAUGAUCUAUCGAAAAGGAAAGUUGCAGAACUUUGUGGAUAGUGCCGAGAGGGCUUACAGGAAAUUUGUAAGAGUAAAACUUUCGGUAUUUGACCAGAACGUGCGGUCUAGCUUGAAUAGAUGUGGUCUCUGCGGAGUACAAGCUUCCUCGUUUGAGCUUUACCGCAACAAGUUCGUCGAGGCCAAGAAGUCAGACCUCACUGAUCCAGAAGUAGUCGAGGCUCAAAAGGACUGCCCAGGUGCUAUAGUGUUCUUCAAGACUCGCUACGCGGCGAUUGUGGCCUCCCAAGUUCUUCAGUCUUCGAACCCUAUGCUAUGGGUGACAAAUCUGGCGCCGGAGCCGCGCGACGUCUACUGGUCGAACCUCUGGAUACCCUACAGGCAGAUCUGGCUCCGGAAAAUAGCGACGCUCGCGGCUAGUGUCUUCUUCAUGUUUGUCUUCAUCGUACCCGUCGCGUUUGUUCAAAGCAUGAUGCAGCUGGAACAGCUCAAGCAAAUGUUCCCAAACCUGAGAGGUGCACUGAAGACGUCAUUCUGCGUGAGAGUCGUAACGGGAUACCUCCCUAGCGUGGUCCUGCUGCUGUCCCUCUACACCGUUCCUCCCCUGAUGAUGCGCUUCUCGGCGAUCGAGGGGUCGAUUUCUCGCAGCGGCAGGAAGACGAGCGCGUGCUCCAAGAUUCUCAUCUUCAACAUCUGGAAUGUCUUCUUUGUGAACGUGCUAUCAGGGUCCGUGCUCAACCAGCUGAAUGUGCUCACUAGACCCAAGGACAUGCCGUCUAUGCUAGCCGAGCUCGUGCCAAAGCAGGCAACGUUUUUCAUGACCUACGUCCUCACAUCAGGCUGGUUCAGUCUGUGCUCGGAGAUACUGCAGGUGUACAACCUGGUGUACAAUUUCUUCAGGAAAUUCAUAUGUUGCUACCAGGACGAGCCAGAAUACGUCUACUCUUUCCCCUACCACACCGAAGUCCCCAAGGUCCUCAUGUUCAACGUGCUCGGCUUCACGUUCUCGAUCAUGGCGCCUCUCAUACUGCCUUUCUUGCUCGUCUACUUUUGCCUCGGCUACUUGGUGUACCGCAACCAGAUUCUGAACGUGUACUACCCCAAGUACGAGAUGGGAGGGAAGCUGUGGCCGAUCAUGCACAACACCAUGGUGUUCUCCCUGGUGCUCACGCAGAUCAUCGCGCUGGGUGUCUUCACCAUCAAGAAGGCGCCGAUUUCCACGGGGUUCACCAUCCUGCUCCUCAUCGGCACCAUCCUCUUCAACGAGUACUGCAGGCAGCGCUUCUCCCGCAUCUUCAACUCCUUCUCCGCCCAGGACUUCAUCGAGCUGGACAGAGAGGACGAGCAGUCCGGGAGGAUGCGGGAGAUCCACGAGCACCUGCUGGACGCCUACUGCCAGUCGCCCCCGGGCAGCGCCGACGAGAUCCCGAUGGAGAUGAUCAUGGAGGACCCGGCGCAGGAGGCGUCCAACUCGAGCCAGGAGCUCUGCGAAACGGUGCAGGAGGUGGCGGGCUCCAUCAUCCAGGAGCACAUCGAGGAGCGGCACGGGAGCUCCAGCGGACGCCGCUGA